CCCCGUGAACAACAGGGAGCAGAGCUCUCCAGGCUUUGGCCAGGACCCUUUCCACUACCUUGCGGCUGGAGGAGCCCACGGGGUGCACGGCAGCUCCAGGGGGUGCUGGACUCACCUGGCGAUGGCUUCUUUGUCUUCCACUGUGCCUGCUCGCUGGGCUCCAGUCCGCCCAGGUCCUGGCUGGGCAGGCAGCACCCCUCAUGCGCCAAGCCAGGCCUGUCCACUCCCUGGCUGCCUCCCCAGCUUGGGGUCCUAGAGGGCCUUCCUAUCCUCUGUGAGGCUGGGUUGCCCCUGCUCCUGCUGCCCGCCCGCUGGCUAAUUCUGAUUAUUUCUCUUUCUCCUUGCUCUCUUGGGCGCCUUUAUUCCUGACCGUGCAUUUUCUCUGGGCUCAGGAUUAAAAAAAAAAUCCACACUGCUAAUAUCCUUGUCAGCCUUUUCCUGAAUCAUUGCCGUGCAGCAAUGGAGCCACGGGCCAGUGCCUUCUGGCCAGCAGACUCCAUCCCGGGCCUUCCUGUCCUUGGGGCCCCGGAACCCCCUAUCUGGGUCCUCUUACCCUGAAGGCAACACCCAGGGGCCCAUAUCUUCUGAGAAAUGCCCAGCCAUGGGUGGCAGAUGGGGCCAAGAGCUGAGAACCGGCUGAGCUUUUCCAUCUCAUAGAUGAACAAACAGAGCCUUGGGAACUUGGUGAUGCUCAGGUUGCACAGCUACUAAGGAUCAGGACUGCAGUCUCCACAUGCAUGACUCAGGGAUGACUAGGAUGAAGUUUACCUUUGCAGAACCCACGAAGAAAAGAUGAAUACAAGCCUCCAGAAUGUGACAGGACCACAUACCUCAGCAGUUGAAAAGGAGCCUGGCUGGGAACCUGAGAGUCUCAGAAUCAUCUCACUAUUCACCAUCAUGAGGUGGGCUCCUGUCCCAUCUGGACGCUGAGGCUGAGAGGAUGAAGCGACUUGUUCAAGGACAGUUGGUGGCAGACCUGAGCUCAAGCAGACAUAUGUCUCUUCUGAACAAAGUAUGGAAGAACAAAGACAGGCAUCUUUGGAGCCACCAUGACGCGACUCUGACACCUCAAACCAUGUGCUUAUGUGUUUUUUUUUUUAAUCUGCCUGAAUCAUGGUGCCACUUCUCUAAGGUGGGACUUGUG